rnacentral:lncRNA from 1 species
UUGCCUUUGUGCACAAAAUAAUGCAGAGACAAUACUUCCUCAUAUGAUAUUUUACAACUCCCAAGUUUUUUUUACAUGAAUUUUGUCCUUGGUUUCAGUCCUCACAAUAAAAUAUUUGUACAUUCCUGAGAUUAAACCCUUCUGUUUCCCUCUUUAUUGCCAGGUGUAUGAAGCCUCCACUGAAUGGAAUACAGCAACUUUUCUAAUUGUUUUUCAUAAUUCCCCCAAAACACACGUCCUCCCAAAAAAUUAGAUAAACUUCAUUAGUGUAUCCAAAGUUAUUCACAAAACACACCUGUCUGCGCAAAAUAAAAUCACUAUUGACAUAUAAAGGUUAGUUAUUUUAUAUAAUUUAGUUGAAAAUGUUAUUUUCUAUUGGCCAUUGGCUUUCUAUUCUGCUUUGGGCGGCCACAACGCACUUUUUUGACCCCUUUGGAACGCGCUUUUUUGACCCCUUUGGCUUGCCAUAGUUAUAAUCGACGGUGCAGCGUCCAGACGUGCGUUCACGCCGCAGCGGCGUCGUUUUCCGUUCAGGCUGCUGCUGCCGCUCCACGGUCGGAAUGUGACAGAGGUGCGGCAGAAAUUCCACCGACUCAGAACCUCGUCCUGGACCGAGCCAGAAGCCGGACCUCCUGGGUUGAAUUUAAGCGACAUGAUGGUUCCACAUGGAUACAGGACUGGUGCAACAAAAACAAAGAACUUUUGAAUCACAGUUGUCGUUAAGUGUGUGUGUGUGUGUGUGUGUGUGUGUGUGUGUGUGUGUGUGUGUGUGAUUUUAGUUUUUUAAGCAUUUUAGUAUUUAUCAUCCACAUGUGUGAGCAAAUUUUGUUGUACAAGUUGUAACGACAAUAAAGGUGAAUUUGAUUUUACCAACAAAAAAUAAGACCUGUCACAUUCAAAUAUGUCUAUGCUUUAUUUUUGUGUUUUACUUUGUUUUAUGAAUAUAAGAAAAUAAGAAUGAUGUACACAUGCUAAUAAAAAAAUAAGUAGAAAAUAUUUGUUUUGAUACACUCCUUCGUUAUCUGAAUUUUGCUAAGUAUUAUUGGGAUUCGUGGUAAUGGUUUUUGUAUUUCAAAUGAUAAAAUUAUAGUACCAUUACAUUUUUCUAUAUCUAUUUGUGUUUGUAAUAACUUAUAUUAAUCUGAAAAUGUUUUAGUUUUUUUAUUUUUAAUAUGUAUUCGAAUUUUCCUAACAAUACGUAUUUAUUGCACUCUGGUUUCAUUAUUUAUUUUUAAGUAUCCAAGUAAAAUGUGUACAAGUUUUGCCUAAACCGAUUAUGUCACCGACGUCAACUGGAUUUUUCUGAUCACGCUUUUAUUUUGAAGGACAAUCCGGUGUAUUUCCGCUGUUUGGCGACCAUUUAAUCCUUUACUACAGUGNAACUUUUGAAUCACAGUUGUCGGUGUGUGUGUGUGUGUGUGUGUGUGUGUGUGUGUGUGUGUGUGUGUGUGUGUGAUUUUACUUUUUUAAGCAUUUUAGUAUUUAUCAUCCACAGAGCAUAGCAAAUUUUGUUGUACAAGUUGUAACGACAAUAAAGGUGAAUUUGAUUUUACCAACAAAAAAUAAGACCUGUCACAUUCAAAUAUGUCUAUGCUUUAUUUUUGUGUUUUACUUUGUUUUAUGAAUAUAAGAAAAUAAGAAUGAUGUACACAUGCUAAUAAAAAAAUAAGUAGAAAAUAUUUGUUUUGAUACACUCCUUCGUUAUCUGAAUUUUGCUAAGUAUUAUUGGGAUUCGUGGUAAUGGUUUUUGUAUUUCAAAUGAUAAAAUUAUAGUACCAUUACAUUUUUCUAUAUCUAUUUGUGUUUGUAAUAACUUAUAUUAAUCUGAAAAUGUUUUAGUUUUUUUAUUUUUAAUAUGUAUUCGAAUUUUCCUAACAAUACGUAUUUAUUGCACUCUGGUUUCAUUAUUUAUUUUUAAGUAUCCAAGUAAAAUGUGUACAAGUUUUGCCUAAACCGAUUAUGUCACCGACGUCAACUGGAUUUUUCUGAUCACGCUUUUAUUUUGAAGGACAAUCCGGUGUAUUUCCGCUGUUUGGCGACCAUUUAAUCCUUUACUACAGUGUUUCGUGUCCGCGGCUUCCUGUUUAUUGUCACUGCUGGCCGGUGAAUUUCACGGUUAACGACGGUUAACUGAACGUAUUACCGACCCUCCAGCGCGCAGAACCUCGGUGAGUUUCCUAAUCCCGCCUCGUUAGCGGCCCUCCGCUUUAUUUUGAUAGUUACUGGUGCGGGGACAGAGGCUCGUUCUGCUUCCUCAUCUCUGGCUGCCAGCCGGGCCGAUCCCCGGAACUCCUGCAACAAAAAGUCUAUUUUACAACUCAGCCCCGUACGACCCAGAAACAGAUCUUCCAGACCAAGAUGGGGACUUUUUUCGAAAGAGGUCGAUGUUUAAAUAAUUUCGGCGUUCAAACAUUAGAUUUUAAAUUUGUGUAUGAAGCAGAACUUGGCCGUUAGUGACGGAUGCCCGGCUGGCAGCCGCCCUCUGCGGGUUCUGGCUGAGAUACCGUGUUCAUAUUGAUCAUUAACCUAACGAUGGCUGGUGGGACCGGGUGUUUUCAUCUGCGCCAAAACAAAACCGAGACUUCGUGUGUCGGGUUCUGGGCGGGCCUGAACAUAUCAGACUGGUGAACGGAGUUGUCAAAGCUGAGCAUCCGGCGGGUUUUAGUUGACGGCUCAAAACGUCUAGGGUCACGUGACCAUGCGAAGAAAGGGUCACCCGCAUCCAUCACUUGCAUGACGUGGAGUUGACUGCCAGUUAUGUAAAGCUACGCGGGCUCGGUUCUUUGAAGGGGUCCCAGAGAGCUCAUCCGGCCCGGUCAGCACCUCCAGGGUCCCCCAGGUUCUGGUUUAGUCGCGUUAGUGGGUCUCUGGCCCCUCUAGGUGAGCUGGGCCACACCUGCAGCUAGAGGUGAAUCACAGCUGCUGAACUAGUUCCAGAUGUUAGGACCAUUCUAGAUCACACGAACCAGACCAGUGAAACCAGUCGUAGCACCACAGUUCUACUGGUUUAGUCAGGGUUGAGUUUUCACCAGUUUGCUGUCAGUAAUCAAUAAACACAUAAAUAAUGUAAUCGUUUACAAAGCACGAGGAAUUUUAAAGCACCAGGGAUGUCGUUAUCACUGCGGGCUUAAUCCGAUCAUUUAAGAGUAAAUAUUUAUCAUUAAGCCUCAGUUUCAUAUUUGUGUGAUGUUGCUUUUUGUUUUUUCACCUGUUGACUAUGGCCCGUUCAUUACAUUAUAAACAAGUAAAUAGAUAUUAAAGAAUAUUGCUGCUGGUAAAAUCAC